GACGAACGCUGGCGGCGUGCUUAACACAUGCAAGUCGAACGGAAAGGCCCUGCUUUUGUGGGGUGCUCGAGUGGCGAACGGGUGAGUAACACGUGAGUACCUGCCCUUGACUUUGGGAUAACUUCAGGAAACUGGGGCUAAUACCGGAUAGGAGCCCCCGCUGCAUGGUGGGGGUUGGAAAGGUUCGGCGGUUGGGGAUGGACUCGCGGCUUAUCAGCUUGUUGGUGGGGUAGUGGCUUACCAAGGCUUUGACGGGUAGCCGGCCUGAGAGGGUGACCGGCCACAUUGGGACUGAGAUACGGCCCAGACUCCUACGGGAGGCAGCAGUGGGGAAUAUUGCACAAUGGGCGGAAGCCUGAUGCAGCAACGCCGCGUGCGGGAUGACGGCCUUCGGGUUGUAAACCGCUUUCGCCUGUGACGAAGCGUGAGUGACGGUAAUGGGUAAAGAAGCACCGGCUAACUACGUG
rnacentral:rRNA from 1 species